rnacentral:rRNA from 1 species
UACGUAGGGUCCGAGCGUUGUCCGGAAUUAUUGGGCGUAAAGGGCUCGUAGGCGGUUUGUCACGUCGGGGGUGAAAUCUUACAGCUUAACUGUGAACUUGCUUUCGAUACGGGCAGACUUGAGGCAUUCAGGGGAGAACGGAAUUCCUGGUGUAGCGGUGAAAUGCGCAGAUAUCAGGAGGAACACCGGUGGCGAAGGCGGUUCUCUGGGAAUGUACUGACGCUGAGGAGCGAAAGUGUGGGGAGCGAACAGG